ensembl:lncRNA novel transcript
UCUGAGCCAGUUCCAGCCCGGCCCAGAUGUUGGCCCCUGACAACUAGCUGUGGCUGGUGCGGAGGGAGGAGCGAGGGAAGAGGGGCAGAUCGAGGCUGCCAGAAACAUAUGAAGCUCAUUUCUGCCACCCUUCCUAGAAAACUGGUUCCUGACAGAGACAUGUGGAAAGGUAUCUGCACAAGAAAAAGUGAAAACAUAUGUCCAAGCAAGGAUUGUUUACAAAUGUGCAUAGCAGUUUUGUUAAUAAUAGCCCCAAACUGGAAACAAUCCAAAUAUUCAUCAACAGACGGAUACAGUGUAGUAUAGUGAAACAAUGGACUAGCAUUCAACUAAAAGGAGCAAGCUACUAAUACAUGUAGCAAUGUGCAUAAAUCGCAAAAACUAUGUUGUGUACAAGGCAAACACAAAUGAGUACAUACUAUAUGAUCCCAUGUAUAUAAAAUUCUGGAAAAUGCAAACUAAUAUAAAGUGACACAACCUAAA